CAGGAGCAUAACACAAAUUGGCAGAGCAGGACCUUUUUCUCCUCCUUCCUUUGGACAUCAGACUCCAGGUUCUUCAGCUUGCAGACUCUGGGACUUGCCCCAGCAGCCUCCCAAGGGGGCUCUUGGGCCUGAGGCCUGCACUGUCAGCUUCCCUGGUUCUAAGGCUUUGGACAGAAACUGAGCCACACUACCAGCUUGGAGCCAUGCUAUCGCUUCUAAGAUUCUCCAGCCUGCACUUGGCCUAUUGUGGGACUUCGUCUCUGUGACUCCGUGAGCCAAUUCCUCCUAAUAAAUCUCCUUCCGUUUAUCCUACUGAUUGUAUCUCUGGAGAACACUGAGUAAUGCAGGCCUUCCUAGCAGAGUUUUUGCUGUCUCUGACCAAGCUGAAGGUAAGUUGGACAGAUGCACCAUUCAGAGGCCAAGUUCCACACAGCAGUUUUUUUUUCUAGAAGUAACAUCUGGCUCUAUGGCUUUUUCCCCCUUGGAGACUCAGCGGCUGUGGACGUGGCAGGCUGCUUGGCUUGCUUCACAGCUGUGGGGCCACGUCCCAAGUUCCUCUGGCAUGAGCUGCAGCUGUGCAACAUCUGACUUCAUCCUUCCACAACCCCCUGCACCCCUUGCCCUUUUACUUGAGGCAGACCCCCAAGAAGUCCAGGCAAAACUCUGGAAAACAUGGGAUGGUGUCAGCACUCUGGUCUCUGGCCCUUGGUAGCCAUUAGAAGUAAAACCACACCUUGUAGGGACCAGUGUUCUGUCACCAUGUUGAUGGUUUGAGGAAGAGAUUAAACUCUUUGGUCAGGAAAGACCUGGGGGAAAAUAUGAGUUUCUAUUCACAAAGGAGAUGAAAAGAAAAAUCUUUUUGGAGAGUGGGGCCUUUUCUGUCAGUGAGACCUGAAGAUUAAAAAUGAAGAGAAGAGCCUAUAAAGAUACUUAUGAAAGAAUGGAGAGCAACCGUCCCUAAGGAUCCAGAAAUACCUGUGAAUUGGAAGGAUUUCAGUUCUGGUAAUUCUUUGAAAACAACGCUUUCAUUUUCUAAGUGAUACAUCCUCAUUAAAGAAAAUAUAGAAAGAGAAAGAAAAAUAUAUGUACCUAGAGAGAAUCACACUUCUUCCACCCAAACUCAGACCAUUUGGGGCAUUGCCUUCUUUCCCUUUUAUUCUUGUUUAUAGAAUUCUGGGGAAUUGAGCUUACCCCUAAUCAUACAUGAUAUAUGUUUAUAUAUGUACAAUAUUAAAUUAUACAAGUUUUGCCAUGUAAUUAAUGUUCUUUGUAACAACUUUUAAGGGUGGCAUAAUUGAACAGUUAUGGCAAUUUUCUAGAUCUAUUAUAAUUCUGUUUUAAUAGACACUAAAGAGACAUUUUAAAGAAGCAAACAAAAUCAGUAAGAAGAAAACCUGGAUUUAGGCAAUAAGAAGAAAGAAAAAGUAAACUCCAAGGUUUAUUUAUAUAGCCCAGAGAUUAGCAGGAUGGUGAUAUCAAUAGCAGAAAUAUUGAAGCAAGAAAGAGCUUGAGAGGUUGCCUAGUUCCUGGCUACUCAAAGUGUAGCCCAUGAACCACCAACAUCAGCAUCAUCAGGGAGCUUGUUAGAGGUGCAGAAUCUUAUCCUCCACCUCAGACCUACUGAAUCAGCAUCAGCAUCUUAAAAGGGCCUUCAGAUAGUUGAUAUGCCCAACAAAGAUCAAGAAUCACUGGCUCAAUACAAUCCCUUCCCCCAACCAGAGAUGUAAAGUCUGGCUGCAGUCACACAGCUAAAUAGUGGAG
rnacentral:lncRNA from 10 species